CAGAUACAGUGAUGACGGCAUAGUUCAGCAGAAUAUCCUGUGUUGAGCACUUGCUUCGCCCCUAUCUGAUGUAUCUG
rnacentral:snoRNA from 1 species